rnacentral:lncRNA from 1 species
UUUUUUUUUUUUUUGAGAUGGAGUCUCGCUCUUGUUGCCCAGGCUGGAAUGCAAUGGCACAAUCUUGGCUCACCACAACCUCCACCUCCCAGGUUCAAGGGAUUCUCCUGCCUCAGCCUCCCGAAUAGCUGGGAUUACAGGCAUGCACCACCACACCCGGCUAAUUUUGUAUUUUUAGUAGAGACAGUUUCUCCGUAUUGGUCAGGCUGGUCUCGAACUCCUGACCUCAGGUGAUUCACCCGCCUCGGCUUCCCAAAGUGCUGGGAUUACAGAGGUAAGCCACUGCACCCAGCCGUAUUACUCUUUUAAGAAAUUACAGACUUUGGAUAUUCCA